AUCAACUUUCGAUGGUAGGAUAGAGGCCUACCAUGGUGGUAACGGGUAACGGGGUGUUAGGGCACGACACCGGAGAGGGAGCCUGAGAAACGGCUACCACAUCCAAGGAUGGCAGCAGGCGCGCAAAUUACCCAAUCCCGACACGGGGAGGUAGUGACAAUAAAUAACAAUACGGGGUUCUAAAGGAUUUCGUAAUUGGAAUGAGUACAAUUUAAAUCUCUUAACGAUCAACAAUUGGAGGGCAAGUCUGGUGCCAGCAGCCGCGGUAAUUCCAGCUCCAAUAGCGUAUAUUAAAGUUGUUGCAGUUAAAAAGCUCGUAGUUGAAUUUCGGGGUUAGUAGGUUGGUCAUGCCUCUGGUAUGUACUGAUCUCACUGAUUCCUCCCUCUUGACGAACUGUAAUGUCAUUAAUUUGGUGUUCCAGGAAAUCAGGACUGUUACUUUGAAAAAAUUAGAGUGUUUAAAGCAGGCUAAGGCUUGAAUACAUUAGCAUGGAAUAAUGAAAUAGGACGUUUGAACCUAUUUUGUUGGUUUCUAGGAUCGACGUAAUGAUUAAUAGGGAUAGUUGGGGGCAUUAGUAUUCAAUUGUCAGAGGUGAAAUUCUUGGAUUUAUUGAAGACUAACUACUGCGAAAGCAUUUGCCAAGGAUGUUUUCAUUAAUCAAGAACGAAAGUUAGGGGAUCGAAGACGAUCAGAUACCGUCGUAGUCUUAACCAUAAACUAUGCCGACUAGGGAUCGGAUGAUGUUAAUUUUUUAAUGACUCAUUCGGCGCCUUACGGGAAACCAAAGUGUUUGGGUUC
rnacentral:rRNA from 1 species